rnacentral:rRNA from 1 species
AACGAACGCUGGCGGCAUGCCUAACACAUGCAAGUCGAACGAGACCUUCGGGUCUAGUGGCGCACGGGUGCGUAACGCGUGGGAACCUGCCCUUAGGUUCGGAAUAACUCCCCGAAAGGGGUGCUAAUACCGGAUAAUGUCUUCGGACCAAAGAUUUAUCGCCUUUGGAUGGGCCCGCGUUGGAUUAGCUAGUUGGUAGGGUAAAAGCCUACCAAGGCGACGAUCCAUAGCUGGUCUGAGAGGAUGAUCAGCCACACUGGGACUGAGACACGGCCCAGACUCCUACGGGGGGCAGCAGGGGGGAAUUUUGGACAUGGGGCGAAAGCCUGAUCCAGAAAUGCCCGGGGAGUGAUGAAGGCCUUAGGGUUGUAAAGCUUUUUUACCCGGGAUGAUAAUGACAGUACCGGGAGAAGGAGCCCCGGCUAACCCCGU